rnacentral:rRNA from 1 species
UAGGGAAUCUUCCACAAUGGACGAAAGUCUGAUGGAGCAACGCCGCGUGAGUGAAGAAGGGUUUCGGCUCGUAAAGCUCUGUUGGUAGUGAAGAAAGAUAGAGGUAGUAACUGGCCUUUAUUUGACGGUAAUUACUUAGAAAGUCACGGCUAACUACGUGCCAGCAGCCGCGGUAAUACGUAGGUGGCAAGCGUUGUCCGGAUUUAUUGGGCGUAAAGCGAGUGCAGGCGGUUCAAUAAGUCUGAUGUGAAAGCCUUCGGCUCAACCGGAGAAUUGCAUCAGAAACUGUUGAACUUGAGUGCA